rnacentral:rRNA from 1 species
CAAAUGAAUUGACGGGGCCGCACAAGCGGCGGAGCAUGCGGAUUAAUUCGAUGCAACGCGAAGAACCUUACCAAGGCUUGACAUACACCGGUAACGCCCAGAGAUGGGUGCCCCUUUGUGGUCGGUGUACAGGUGGUGCAUGGUUGUCGUCAGCUCGUGUCGUGAGAUGUUGGGUUAAGUCCCGCAACGAGCGCAACCCUCGUCCUAUGUUGCCAGCGGGUCAUGCCGGGGACUCAUGGGAGACUGCCGGGGUCAACUCGGAGGAAGGUGGGGAUGACGUCAAGUCCUCAUGGCCCUUACAUCCCGGGCUACACACGUGCUACAAUGGGCGGUACAGAGGGAAGCAAAGCCGCGAGGUGGAGCUAAUCCUUAAAGCCGUCCUCAGUUCGGAUCGCAGGCUGCAACUCGCCUGCGUGAAGUCGGAAUCGCUAGUAAUCGCGGAUCAGCUACGCCGCGGUGAAUACGUUCCCGGGUCUU